CUUUCCUCGGCCUCUCACUCUGCCUCGUACCACUUGGUUGAAUUCUUUCUUGUGAGGAGGCAAGAACUGAGGUUGCUGCCGACCCAUACAGAUUCUCUGCUGCUAACAUGACCAUCUUCUAACCAGUCCCUAUCCCAAGUCUUGACUCAAUCCUUUCUUCACAAAGCUGCCAGUGUAAUCAUUCUAACUUUCAAAGGUGUCGGAUUAUCAGUUAAACCUUCCUAGAUCUGGAUGAGGUGGCCUAGCUGCAUCAAUGCAGAUUUUCUCUCCUGAUGCAAAUCCCUUCACAAAAGACAGCUUUGCAGGGAUACUUUUGUUUUCUGAUUGUCUGAAUAUCCAUGUCAAAAUACGUCAAAGAAGUAUAUUUUAGUGUAACAUAUUUUCAUUUCCUUGACCAUCCUCUACUCCAGGAAGCCCUCAUAACCUUUGGACUAAAUUAGCCUCCCUUCUCUUUAUAUGGGACCUGGCUCAUACCUGUACUGUAUUAUCCAAAAUAUACUGUAAUUGCAUGGUUGAACCUGGGAACCAUAUCUUAUUUGACUUUCUGUCUCUAGUACUCAUUUUAGUCUCUGAAAUAAAGAAGGCUUCACAUUUUACAAUAAGACAAAGAACUUACUUGUUUCCCAAAAAUGUUGCAAGGCAACCUUUCUUCCUUUUUUGGAUAGAGUUUUUUCCCUUAUAUUUUAUGAUAAAGAAAGGGGUUUCCCU
rnacentral:lncRNA from 10 species